AAGGUAGCGAAAUUCCUUGUCGGGUAAGUUCCGACCUGCACGAAUGGCGUAACGAUCUCCACACUGUCUCGGCCAGAGACUCGGUGAAAUUGCAGUCGCGGUGAAAAUUCCGUGUACCCGCAGAAAGACGGAAAGACCCUGUGCACCUUUACUAUAGCUUGACAUUGGAUUUUGGGCCUGCAUGUGUAGGAUAGGUGGGAGGCUGUGAACCCUGUACGCCAGUAUGGGGGGAGCCAUCCUUGAAAUACCACCCUUGCAUGUUUAAGAUCCUAACUUCUUCCGGUUAUCCCGGAGAAAGACAGUGUCUGGCGGGUAGUUUGACUGGGGCGGUCGCCUCCUAAAGUGUAACGGAGGCAUGCAAAGGUUCCCUCAGCCUGAUCGGAAACCAGGCGCUGAGUGCAAACGCAUAAGGGAGCUUGACUGUAAGAGAGACAUCUCGAACAGGAACGAAAGUUGGCGUUAGUGAUCCGGUGGUCCCGAAUGGAAGGGCCAUCGCUCAUUGGAUAAAAGGUACGCCGGGGAUAACAGGCUGAUCGCAUCCAAGAGUUCACAUCGACGAUGCGGUUUGGCACCUCGAUGUCGGCUCAUCACAUCCUGGGGCUGAAGCAGGUCCCAAGGGUACGGCUGUUCGCCGUUUAAAGUGGUACGCGAGCUGGGUUUAAAACGUCGUGAGACAGUUUGGUCCCUAUCUUCUGUGGGCGAAGGAGAAUUGAGAGGGCCUGUCCCUAGUACGAGAGGACCGGGAUGGACGCACCCCUGGUGAUCCUGUUGUCGCGCCAGCGGCAUAGCAGGGUAGCUAUGUGCGGAAGGGAUAACCGCUGAAAGCAUCUAAGCGGGAAGCCUGCCUCAAGAUAAGUUCUCCCCUCGAAAGAGCUGAAGGGCCCGGGUAGACUACCCGGUCGAUAGGCUGGAGGUGUAAGCGCGGCGACGUGCUCAGCUGACCAGUACUAAUAGCCCGAGUGGCUUAUUUUU
rnacentral:rRNA from 1 species